AUUGAACGCUGGCGGCAUGCUUUACACAUGCAAGUCGAACGGUAACAGGCCGCAAGGUGCUGACGAGUGGCGAACGGGUGAGUAAUGCAUCGGAACGUGCCCAGUCGUGGGGGAUAACGCAGCGAAAGCUGCGCUAAUACCGCAUACGAUCUAUGGAUGAAAGCGGGGGGCCGUAAGGACUCCCGCGAUUGGAGCGGCCGAUGUCAGAUUAGGUAGUUGGUGGGGUAAAGGCCUACAAAGCCAACGAUCUGGAGCUGGUCUGAGAGGACGACCAGCCACACUGGGACUGAGACACGGCCCAGACUCCUACGGGAGGCAGCAGUGGGGAGUUUUGGACAAUGGGCGCAAGCCUGAUCCAGCAAUGCCGCGUGCAGGAAGAAGGCCUUCGGGUUGUAAACUGCUUUUGUACGGAACGAAACGGUCCGGGUUAAUACCCUGGGCUAAUGACGGUACCGUAAGAAUAAGCACCGGCUAACUACGUGCCAGCCGCCGCCGUAAUAC
rnacentral:rRNA from 1 species